ACAUCCUUAAUUUUCCUUCAUUAGCCGUGCUGACCAUCAUCUUCUUGCAGGACAUAAAAGUUCGAUUCCCUACCUUACUCCCGAUGGAGGGUCUCGCGUUCCCGUCUCCAAUAACGAAAAGAGGGGGGCCCAAGGGUCCUCUGUGUCUCUCCCUGUGAUAACCAAACAGUUUGGCAUCCCUAUUAUCCUUCCUUUAGCUGAAUAUGAGGCGCCUGGCUUUCGAGCAUGUGGCGCGAUGACGUUCGGCGGGGUUGUGAGGGGGUGUUUGGAAGACCGACAUAUCUUUUUAGCUCAGUAUUUAUUUUUCCUCGUCCAUUAUCGGUGUCUUUUAUGGGUGCGAUAUAUAUUUUACAACUGUGAAUGUAUUUGUGCACGCCUCUUGUUUUACAUCGACCUUUAGGCUUUCAUUGUACGGUGCAUUUACUCGCUAACUACGAUUGUUUAUUGGCUCGCAUGCAUCAUUCGGAUACUCUAU
rnacentral:sRNA from 1 species